rnacentral:rRNA from 1 species
CAAGUACCGUGAGGGAAAGUUGAAAAGAACUUUGAAGAGAGAGUUCAAUAGUACGUGAAACCUCUCGGGGGUAAGCGGGCAGAACUUGCAAGUAUUGGUGGGAGAUUCAGGCUUAGUGCUCGGUGGCUGGAGGUGCUUAGUUAGGUUGGCCAUUCGUGGUUUGACUGGUGUGUGCCUCUUGAUCCGUCGGUACUGCGCCGCAUUUCUCUCUAUCAUCCGGGUUACGUGCCAUUGUAUGGUAGUCUAGGUGCUGGGUGUCUGCGAAUCUUCGGGUUUGAGCCCUAGUUUCCGACUACUGUAGCGAUGGUUGUUUUGGAGUGUACAAGCGUUUGUCGCGGUUGGGGCCUUGGGCGAGCAGGGUGCACAUGAUGUGUGGACGGGUAACCGUAGCAUGUUGUGUGUACUGGUUGACAGCCAGGGGUUUUCCAGCUUUGUACCGAGAAUCGCAAUC